CCUUCCCUUCAAACCCUAGCUAGCUAGCUAUCACCUGCUGCUCUCCCUCACAUGCGCUUGCAUUCCCAGAAAUCCAUUCCAGGCCGAUCGAUCCAGGUAUGCUCAUGCUGCACGCACGCAUCAAUGGCUCUAUGCAGUAUGCGUUGAUCUCCAUUGUCGGCUGCUAGUGCUAGCUAGGGGAAGAAAGAAAACAAGGACGAAAUGAAAUCGCAGCUGCGGUAUUGGCUCGGCUCACUCAGGUCAUCGUGUUGCAGAAGCAUAUGCUUCUCGGUAUAAUCUGAUUGAGCCGCGCCAAUAUCUCAGUGCCAUUUCAUCAGUACAUACACCGGUCGAUCACCGUCGUCUCAUCCAUCUCCUGCAUCUCUCUCUCUCUCUCUCUCUCUCUCUCUCUCUCUCUCUCUCUCUCUCUCUCUCUCUCUCUCUCUCUCUCUCUCUCUCCCGUCAUAUGGAUCAUAGUAGUAUAUGCAGUUCAGUUGGGCUUUACGGAUAUUUGUGGCUUUUCGAAUUUUCGUGCGUCGAGUUUCUGUCAGCUGGGGAAAUAAUGAAGAACGACGCCAGGGAUGAGGAGCUGGGAUGAGUUAUUAGAAACUUUGAAGGCACUGCAAGCUUAAUUUUCUUGACGUUUUCGGUGAAUCAGGGACGAGCUAGCAGACAUAAAUAUAUAUAUAGAAUCUUAAUCGAUCGGGGAAAUCUCAUAAUAUUUGAAAUUUUGUUCAAGUCAUUUAGAUGGUGUACGUACAAGCAGAUCAUAAUGUCAGCUGUGCUUGCGAGAGCGUGCCUUUCUUCCCAUGUUUUUUACUGUAGCAAUCGAUUGUAGAUGUAUGUAGCAGGUGAUGUCAAGCUGAUACAUCCAAAAUGCAGAUCCUAUUUGCUGAUGCCUAUUUUUCUGUACCAGCGCCCAUGCAUGUGACGUUGCCUAGCUAGUAUACUGUACUUGUCAGUAGAUUAUGGUACAAAAACAUGGAUAGACCUAAGGUUAAUUAGGGGUGACGAAGAAAUCAGGCGUUAAAAACUCGCUUGCUGGGUUAUAGUUCUUGUGGAUAUUCAGAUGAAGGUAAUUUUAUGUACUUGCUGGUAAUGGUAUAUAUCCUGAGAGAAAGUAACAUGCGCAUGCAUGUGCCAAUGCUUCACAAAUCUGAUGCAUUUACAGAGGGGAUCAUCACCCAUCAUGGCGUGUAUGCAUACAAAUAUCCCCCACGUAUAGUAAUACCACGGUACUGAUCACUGCAGCUUCCAGAUUCCAUAAAUGCAACAGAUCUUUAUACACACAAACACACACACACACAGAGUAAUGUCUCCAUGCUGUAUUUAAUUCAUUUCAGCUCAAUAAUUUGAAAUGGAGUAUGCUCAUCACUUCGGCUUC